CUGAAGAAGAGGGGCUUAUGCCCCAGACAUGCCACAACUGGCAUGAAUAAGAUACUUUCCUUGGAGGGGAGGCUGCAAGAGAUCGAGCUUGCUGAUAAAUUUGAAGUAGUGAGGCUUUGAGAGAUGUGGGCUGAAGGCACAGUUCAGUGAAGGACCCAUCUCUGGAGGCAAAUGGCAUGCCCCCAGAACCACCUUUCUUUGCAAGAAGGUUUAAAAGGCUACAACAGCAGACACAGGAAAAACUCACCAGAUGCUCCCUUUACUCCUGUGUGGAUGCUUGCGGACUUGAGGUUUUGGCCAGUUCACAUAAUAUGACUGUGUGAGGUCUGGGCCAUACAUUACUGGUAGAGCACAUGCUUUGUAUGCAGUAAACCCCAAGUUCAUGUUUUGCAUCUCCAGUUAGAAAAGAUCUGGGAUGCGGAUCCUGCCUCUGAGACCUUAAAGAGCUGCUCCCAGUUGGAAUGCUGAAUACUAGGUAGACCCUGUAGAAGGCAGCUUCAUGCAUCAUUUUCUCCAUGGCAAGGGGAUUAUGUGCACAAUUUAGAAUUAUACAAGCGGCUGUUAAGAAUUAGGGAGGUUUAAAUGAAGAAGAGUAUAAAAUUGUGGUUUGUGCUUAAAUUAAAUGAUUCAGAUAUUCCCCCCCCUUUCAAGUAUGGUGCAAUUCAUCGCGCUUCAUUUCAAAUGAGGUGUGUGUUUGUGUGUGUGAACUUGUGGAUUGUGCCCCAUGACUCAGAUCUGUCUCCCAUUCUUCUGUCUAUAAUUGCACCCAUAAUCUGCUUCACCUUGAUUCAUGGUAGGGCCACUUCUGGCUUUUCCUGGGAUUCCUGGGUUCAUGGUGGGUACCAUCCAAAUACUUGGCACAUGCCUGAAUUACUCUAGUGCCAGCAGUGCCUGGCUUUCUUUGUUGUACUGUGUUUAACUGGAGUUGCAGCCUGCCUGUCGCUGCUCAGUUGGGCUCUCAUUUGUGUUUCAUUUCUUCCCUGAAUCUUCUCUGGCAAUAAAUUUGGAACCCUUUCCUCCUCCUCCUUCUUGUCCUGCCAGCAUUCUACUUCUUUGGUGAUUUUGUGCUUUGUGUAUUUCUGGAGCACUGCCUCCAAAAUACAGUAUUGCCUUUCUCCUAUUGCCUUUCAAAACUCAAAAGUCUUAUUUUAGUUUGUUUGGUUUCUUUUUGUUUGCCUUUCCAUUGAUUGUUGCCUUUGUUUGGGCUUUUUACCAGUUGCUGCCUUAUAUUCUCAUUUUAAUUUUCUUUCCUGCUAAGCCAGUCUCCACCAUUCCUGAAGUCUAUUUCUGAUGCCGAUUUUAAAACUGUUAUCCCAUUGUGCCACAGAGAGCAUCAAAAUGUUUUAUUCACAAAACAUUUUUUCCUCUCAGGAUCCUGAACUGAUUAAUAUAUAAAUAAUUACAAGACUGAUAUAUCUAUAAGAUUAUUCUGUGGGGCAUCAGAAUAUAAGUGGCUCUAACGUAUACCCCAGGAAGCUCUGCCUCGUAAAGUACAUAAGACGCUUCCCCCAAACAUCACCAGAUCCCUAUCAAUUGCUUUGACGGUGUCAUGUUUUUCUUAGACUGUUUUUGGGUUUGCUGGAAUUUUGCAGCUGAAUAGCAGCAAAGGAGUGGAAUUAUUUUUCAUUUCUUCUGUUUAUUAUGCAUCGAGGGCCCUGAACUGGGUUUGGAAAGGAAAGAGGUGUGAAUUAGUUUGGGGAAGCUUGAAAAGCCACACUGGGGGAUCAGGCAGCAUAGAUCCAAGGCAAGUUUCUGUCUCCAGUCUUGCCUCCCCCUCUCUGCCCCGAAACCUCUCAACUUAAAACAAGCAAAGAGAGCUGACAACCCACAACAAUGGCUCCCUUUCUUCUCUGUUGCUGGUGUUUUGAUAGUUUUAUGUUACACCCCCCCACACACCCACCCUCCGUUGUGGGUUGGAGCUAUGGAGGGGGGCAUGUAGAGAAUCUGACAUGAGCGACAUGAUGUAAUGUUUUUUUUCCAGCCUAGAAACGAGGCAAUUUUUCACCCAAGGUCAGCAAAAUUUAUGUCAAGCCCCCAGACUCCUAGCUGGCUGGGCCUUGAGGUGGAGUGGGGGGAGAAGGAAAGAGCAUUUGGAAAGGCAGGCACCUAGCCUGCCCUGGCUGCACUUUUGUAGUUGGAGGGGCCAGCCUCACUCCACAGCUUCAGCUAAAAGCAUUGCAUCUGCAGCCUAUGAGUGGGGAAGACCAUUUUAUACCCCGCGUUUUGUUGAUCAGCCAUCACAUCUGUUUCCUAUUGAAAGCCUAUUUGGAGGAGACAGACAGAGAGAGCGCCUUUUUAUAGUUUAAUAAUCUUGGAGGCAAUACGCCAGUCCCUUGCGGAUUGUCCACUAAUCGCUCCCCUCCCCCAUCCCUUGUGGUUUUCAUUUUAACUUCUACUAAAACAAAAUAAGCAUAAUAAACCAACUUGAAUGUUAGAGUUCCACCGAAAUUAUCCUUUUCAGCACCACCUCUACUCUUUCUUGAGGUUCUAGAAUAUACAAUGCACUUCUAUUCAAUCCCUUCCCUUUACUCUUUCCAUUUUGGAGGUUUUUUGUGUGUUGGCACUUAAAAGUUACAUAUGAUAAGCUGUGAGUUGUCAGCUGUUUUUGCUUGCUUGGGGUAGAGGAAAAAUGAGGAAAAAUACUAGAGGGAGAAAGGAUCCACCUGCCUGAUUCCCCCCU